GGGCAACGUAGGCUGCAAGGCUACUUAAAACCAUCGCGAACUUAUCCAAGUUGCUUCGGCGGCGCGGCUCCCCUCACGGGGGACCGCAGCCCCCGCCUCUCAGGAGGUAAGGGGCAGCCGCCGGAGGUACGAAACUCUGUAUUAUAGUGGUAUCUCUGAGUAUAAAACAAAUAAGUUAAAACUUUCAACAACGGAUCUCUUGGUUCUGGCAUCGAUGAAGAACGCAGCGAAAUGCGAUAAGUAAUGUGAAUUGCAGAAUUCAGUGAAUCAUCGAAUCUUUGAACGCACAUUGCGCCCGCUAGUACUCUAGCGGGCAUGCCUGUUCGAGCGUCAUUUCAACCCUCAAGCUCUGCUUGGUGUUGGGGCUCUACGUCUGACGUAGGCCCUGAAAGGAAGUGGCGGGCUCGCUACAACUCCGAGCGUAGUAAUUCAUUAUCUCGCUAGGGAAGUGUGGCGUUCUCCAGCCGUUAAAGACCCCAUCUUUAACCAAGGUUGACCUCGGAUCAGGUAGGAAUACCCGCUGAACUUAAGCAUAUCAAAGCGCGGAAGGAAACCAAUAGG
rnacentral:sRNA from 1 species